AUUGAACGCUGGCGGCAGGCCUAACACAUGCAAGUCGAACGAGUGGCGGACGGGUGAGUAAUGUCUGGGAAACUGCCCGAUGGAGGGGGAUAACUACUGGAAACGGUAGCUAAUACCGCAUACCAUCGGAUGUGCCCCGAUGGGAUUAGCUAGUAGGUGGGGUAAAGGCUCACCUAGGCGACGAUCCCUAGCUGGUCUGAGAGGAUGACCAGCCACACGUGAACUGAGCAACGGUCGAGACUCCUACGGUAGGCAGCAGUGGGGAAUAUUGGACAUUGGGCGCAAGCAUGAUGCAGCCAUGCCGGGUGUAUGAAGAAGGCCUUCUGUUUGUAAAGUACUUUCAGCGGGGAGGCGGUACCAGCAGAAGAAGCACCGGCUAACUCCGUGCCAGCCGCCGCGGUAAUAC
rnacentral:rRNA from 1 species